AAAAAAGGUAAGCUACUAAGAGCGAAUGGUGGAUGCCUUGACUGGUAAAGGCGAUGAAGGACGUACUAGACUGCGAUAAGCUACGGGGAGCUGUCAAGAAGCUUUGAUCCGUAGAUUUCCGAAUGGGGCAACCCAAUGUAUAGAGAUAUACAUUACCUAUAUAGGAGCGAACGAGGGGAAUUGAAACAUCUUAGUACCCUCAGGAAAAGAAAUCAAUAGAGAUUGCGUCAGUAGCGGCGAGCGAAAGCGCAAGAGGGCAAACCCAGUGCUUGCACUGGGGGUUGUAGGACUGCAAUGUGCAAGAGCUGAGUUUAGCAGAACAUUCUGGAAAGUAUAGCCAUAGAGGGUGAUAGUCCCGUAUGCGAAAAACAAAGCUUAGCUAGCAGUAUCCUGAGUAGGGCGGGACACGAGGAAUCCUGUCUGAAUCCGGGUCGACCACGAUCCAACCCUAAAUACUAAUACCAGAUCGAUAGUGCACAAGUACCGUGAGGGAAAGGUGAAAAGAACUGAGGUGAUCAGAGUGAAAUAGAACCUGAAACCAUUUGCUUACAAUCAUUCAGAGCACUAUGUAGCAAUACAGUGUGAUGGACUGCCUUUUGCAUAAUGAGCCUGCGAGUUGUGGUGUCUGGCAAGGUUAAGCAAACGCGAAGCCGUAGCGAAAGCGAGUCUGAAUAGGGCGCUUAGUCAGAUGCUGCAGACCCGAAACGAAGUGAUCUAUCCAUGAGCAAGUUGAAGCUAGUGUAAGAACUAGUGGAGGACUGAACCCAUAGGCGUUGAAAAGCCCCGGGAUGACUUGUGGAUAGGGGUGAAAGGCCAAUCAAACUUCGUGAUAGCUGGUUCUCUCCGAAAUAUAUUUAGGUAUAGCGUUGUGUCGUAAUAUAAGGGGGUAGAGCACUGAAUGGGCUAGGGCAUACACCAAUGUACCAAACCCUAUCAAACUCCGAAUACCUUAUAUGUAAUCACAGCAGUCAGGCGGCGAGUGAUAAAAUCCGUCGUCAAGAGGGAAACAACCCAGACUACCAGCUAAGGUCCCUAAAUCUUACUUAAGUGGAAAACGAUGUGAAGUUACUUAAACAACCAGGAGGUUGGCUUAGAAGCAGCCAUCCUUUAAAGAAAGCGUAAUAGCUCACUGGUCUAGUGAUUUUGCGCGGAAAAUAUAACGGGGCUAAAGUAAGUACCGAAGCUGUAGACUUGCACACAACUUAGAUUAUUUAAGUUUAGAAUAUGAGAAACUAAGUUAUAUGUUUAGUUAUAUUUUUACUGAUUUUUAUAGAGUAAAGAUAGAAAUAAAACUUAGUAAAAUCAGUAAAAAUAUUCUUAGGCUAAAGUUAAGUAGUUUAAGUUGUGUGCAAGUGGUAGGAGAGCGUUCUAUUUGCGUCGAAGGUAUACCGGUAAGGAGUGCUGGAGCGAAUAGAAGUGAGCAUGCAGGCAUGAGUAGCGAUAAUUAAUGUGAGAAUCAUUAACGCCGUAAACCCAAGGUUUCCUACGCGAUGCUCGUCAUCGUAGGGUUAGUCGGGUCCUAAGUCGAGUCCGAAAGGGGUAGACGAUGGCAAAUUGGUUAAUAUUCCAAUACCAACAUUAGUGUGCGAUGGAAGGACGCUUAGGGCUAAGGGGGCUAGCGGAUGGAAGUGCUAGUCUAAGGUUGUAGGAGGUUAUACAGGCAAAUCCGUAUAACAAUACUCCGAGAACUGAAAGGCUUUUUGAAGUCUUCGGAUGGAUAGAAGAACCCCUGAUGCCGUCGAGCCAAGAAAAGUUUCUAAGUUUAGCUAAUGUUGCCCGUACCGUAAACCGACACAGGUGGGUGGGAUGAGUAUUCUAAGGCGCGUGGAAGAACUCUCUUUAAGGAACUCUGCAAAAUAGCACCGUAUCUUCGGUAUAAGGUGUGGUUAGCUUCGUACUAGGAUUUACUCCGAAAGCGAAGAAACUUACAACAAAGAGUCCCUCCCGACUGUUUACCAAAAACACAGCACUCUGCUAACUCGUAAGAGGAUGUAUAGGGUGUGACGCCUGCCCGGUGCUCGAAGGUUAAUUGAUGGGGUUAGCAUUAGCGAAGCUCUUGAUCGAAGCCCGAGUAAACGGCGGCCGUAACUAUAACGGUCCUAAGGUAGCGAAAUUCCUUGUCGGUUAAAUACCGACCUGCAUGAAUGGCGUAACGAGAUGGGAGCUGUCUCAAAGAGGGAUCCAGUGAAAUUGUAGUGGAGGUGAAAAUUCCUCCUACCCGCGGCAAGACGGAAAGACCCCGUGGACCUUUACUACAGCUUGACACUGCUACUUGGAUAAGAAUGUGCAGGAUAGGUGGGAGGCUUUGAGUAUAUGACGCCAGUUGUAUAUGAGCCAUUGUUGAGAUACCACUCUUUCUUAUUUGGGUAGCUAACCAGCUUGAGUUAUCCUCAAGUGGGACAAUGUCUGGUGGGUAGUUUGACUGGGGCGGUCGCCUCCCAAAUAAUAACGGAGGCUUACAAAGGUUGGCUCAGAACGGUUGGAAAUCGUUCGUAGAGUAUAAAGGUAUAAGCCAGCUUAACUGCAAGACAUACAAGUCAAGCAGAGACGAAAGUCGGUCUUAGUGAUCCGGUGGUUCUGUGUGGAAGGGCCAUCGCUCAAAGGAUAAAAGGUACCCCGGGGAUAACAGGCUGAUCUCCCCCAAGAGCUCACAUCGACGGGGAGGUUUGGCACCUCGAUGUCGGCUCAUCGCAUCCUGGGGCUGGAGCAGGUCCCAAGGGUAUGGCUGUUCGCCAUUUAAAGCGGUACGCGAGCUGGGUUCAGAACGUCGUGAGACAGUUCGGUCCCUAUCUGCCGUGGGCGUAAGAAGAUUGAAGAGAUUUGACCCUAGUACGAGAGGACCGGGUUGAACAAACCACUGGUGUAGCUGUUGUUCUGCCAAGAGCAUCGCAGCGUAGCUAAGUUUGGAAAGGAUAAACGCUGAAAGCAUCUAAGCGUGAAGCCAACUCUAAGAUGAAUCUUCUCUAAGCUCUCUAGAAGACUACUAGUUUGAUAGGCUGGGUGUGUAAUGGAUGAAAGUCCUUUAGCUGACCAGUACUAAUAGAGCGUUUGGCUUAUCUUUAAUAAAGCAU
rnacentral:rRNA from 1 species